AUUGAACGCUGGCGGCAUGCCUUACACAUGCAAGUCGAACGGUAACGGGCCUUCGGGUGCCGACGAGUGGCGAACGGGUGAGUAAUGCGUCGGAACGUACCUUUCAGUGGGGGAUAACGUAGCGAAAGUUACGCUAAUACCGCAUAUUCUGUUAGCAAGAAAGCAGGGGAUCGCAAGACCUUGCGCUGAUUGAGCGGCCGAUGUCAGAUUAGCUAGUUGGUGAGGUAAAGGCUCACCAAGGCGACGAUCUGUAGCGGGUCUGAGAGGAUGAUCCGCCACACUGGAACUGAGACACGGUCCAGACUCCUACGGGAGGCAGCAGUGGGGAAUUUUGGACAAUGGGGGCAACCCUGAUCCAGCCAUGCCGCGUGAGUGAAGAAGGCCUUCGGGUUGUAAAGCUCUUUCGGUCGGGAAGAAAUCGCAUGGGUUAAUACCCUGUGCGGAUGACGGUACCGGCAUAAGAAGCACCGGCUAACUACGUGCCAGCCGCCGCAGUAA
rnacentral:rRNA from 1 species